rnacentral:rRNA from 1 species
GACGAACCGAGCGAACGUUGUUCGGAAUCACUGGGCUUAAAGGGCGCGUAGGCGGGCAUCAUAGUCUGUGGUGAAAUCCGGCAGCUUAACUGUCGAAUUGCCAUGGAUACUGGAUGUCUCGAGGGAGGCAGGGGUGCGCGGAACUAAUGGUGGAGCGGUGAAAUGCGUUGAUAUCAUUAGGAACUCCGGUGGCGAAGGCGGCGCACUGGUCCUUUUCUGACGCUGAGGCGCGAAAGCCAGGGGAGCAAACGGG